rnacentral:rRNA from 1 species
ACGGAAGGCAGCAGUCGGGAAUAUUGCGCAAUGGAGGAAACUCUGACGCAGUGACGCCGCGUAUAGGAAGAAGGUUUUCGGAUUGUAAACUAUUUUAGACAGGGAAGAAUAAUGACAGUACCUGUAGAAUAAGCUCCGGCUAACUACGUGCCAGCAGCCGCGGUAAUACGUAGGGAGCAAGCGUUAUCCGGAUUUAUUGGGUGUAAAGGGUGCGUAGACGGGAAAGCAAGUUAGUUGUGAAAGCCCUCGGCUCAACUGAGGAAUUGCAACUAAAACUACUAUUCUUGAGUGCGGGAGAGGAAAGCGGAAUUCCUAGUGUAGCGGUGAAAUGCGUAGAUAUUAGGAGGAACACCAGUGGCGAAGGCGGCUUUCUGGACCGUAACUGACGUUGAGGCACGAAAGUGUGGGGGGCAAACAGGAUUAGAUACCCUGGUA